rnacentral:misc_RNA from 1 species
UCUGGCUUUUGAAUGCAACAAUGUAACAAUAUUUUUUUUGUUUAUCAAGACUUGUACUGCUGCUGUAGAAAUAUAAAAUGUCAGAAUACGGGAUUCUUUCAUAACCAUGGCAACAUUUUCUUCUUUGUUAAUGAUACUCAUCUUUAAAGUUUCCUUUCAUAUCCUAGCUCUUAUAAUUCAAUAGUGUUAACAUACCAUAGAUAAUUCAAUAGGGUUUACACCAGAGAUAACUUAUUUGUAUUAACCACACGAAAGGUAAUUGGAUAUAUUAACACCAGAGAUAAUUGGUAAUGUUAAAACCAGAGAUUAUUGUAUAAUGUUAACACACAGUUAAUAUCGCCCGUUACAGUUGGUUGUGGUUGGCACUAAGUUGUCUGGUAGGGGCUGAUAUCUGAUGGACACUGAAUAAUUGUCUGUGUUAGACACUGUGAAAGUUUGGGGCUGAGUUAUCUGUGGUGGACACUAUAUUUUUGUCUGUGAUAGACACAGUAGCGGUUUGCGGUGAUCUGUGGGUAGGCUGGCUUCCUGUCCAGUGACAACAGCGACCUCUACUUUAGUCAGACAACACUAUUGAACAUAAGUGCAAUAUAAAAGCCCAUCUUAAAGCAACACAAUGAAAUCCUUACUUAUCUUGAUACAGAACACAUAAUAAUCAUGCAUUACCAUUGAUGUGUAAAUUGUAAUAAAGGUGAAAACUUACAAUU